UAACCUGCCUGGUAGCGGGGGAUAACUAUUGGAAACGAUAGCUAAUACCGCAUAACAGUAGAUGUUGCAUGACAUUUGCUUAAAAGGUGCAAUUGCAUCGCUACCAGAUGGACCUGCGUUGUAUUAGCUAGUUGGUGAGGUAACGGCUCACCAAGGCAACGAUACAUAGCCGACCUGAGAGGGUGAUCGGCCACACUGGGACUGAGACACGGCCCAG
rnacentral:rRNA from 1 species